CCCGGGCCUUGUACACACCGCCCGUCACGCCAUGGAAGCCGGGAGUGCCCGAAGUCCGUGACCCAACCGCAAGGAGGGAGCGGCCGAAGGUAAGAUCGGUGACUGGGGCG
rnacentral:rRNA from 1 species